AGGCCUACCAUGGUGGUAACGGGUAACGGGGUGUUAGGGCACGACACCGGAGAGGGAGCCUGAGAAACGGCUACCACAUCCAAGGAUGGCAGCAGGCGCGCAAAUUACCCAAUCCCGACACGGGGAGGUAGUGACAAUAAAUAACAAUACGGGGUUCUUUAGGAUCUCGUAAUUGGAAUGAGUACAAUUUAAAUCUCUUAACGAGGAACAAUUGGAGGGCAAGUCUGGUGCCAGCAGCCGCGGUAAUUCCAGCUCCAAUAGCGUAUAUUAAAGUUGUUGCAGUUAAAAAGCUCGUAGUUGAAUUUCGGGGUUAGUAGGUUGGUCAUGCCUCCGGUAUGUACUGGUCUCACUGAUUCCUCCUUCCUUAUGAACCGUAAUGCCAUUAAUUUGGUGUUGCGGGGAAUUUGGACUGUUACUUUGAAAAAAUUAGAGUGUUUAAAGCAGGCUAACGCUUGAAUACAUUAGCAUGGAAUAAUGAAAUAGGACGUUCGAUCUUAUUUUGUUGGUUUCUAGGAUUGACGUAAUGAUUAAUAGGGAUAGUUGGGGGCAUUAGUAUUCAAUUGUCAGAGGUGAAAUUCUUGGAUUUAUUGAAGACUAACUACUGCGAAAGCAUUUGCCAAGGAUGUUUUCAUUAAUCAAGAACGAAAGUUAGGGGAUCGAAGACGAUCAGAUACCGUCGUAGUCUUAACCAUAAACUAUGCCGACUAGGGAUCGGAUGAUGUUAAUUUUUUAAUGACUCAUUCGGCGCCUUACGGGAAACCAAAGUGUUUGGG
rnacentral:rRNA from 1 species